rnacentral:misc_RNA from 1 species
GUUAUGACUCAUCGCAGGUGCCAUCGCCGUCAUCUUCACUGUAGGAGGAGUAGAAGACGGAGUGAUGACCGCCGAAACGAAUCCGCUGGAGGCGGUCUCCGACGAGGAUGAAACAGGCAAAGAAUGAGGCGGCAACAUUCGAUAGUGGAUAGGCUUGCCUAAGGAACACAUGAGAAUUUGAUUCCAUACGCGGAGAAUACACCGCCUGAGGAUCGAAAUGCGACGUUGAAGCUUCAGCCUAACAUCGAAACGAACCAUAAUUAAAUUAUCUUCUCUCCAAUAGCUCCUGCGAAAAAACAAGAAGAAAGAGGAUUGUCGUUUGUUGUUUGUCCCUGUCGUUUGGGGGUUUGCGUUAAAGUGAGAAAGGAUGGCCUGAGACUUUGUAGAUGGAACAGAUCUAUUUGGCCAUGAGAGAA